rnacentral:tRNA from 1 species
GCCCGUUUAGCAUAGUCGUUAUUGCGCGGCACUUGUACUGUUGGACAUGCCGAGGUCGCUAGUUCAAAUCUGGCAACGGGCA